CUACGGGGUGCUGCAGUCAGGGAUCUUUUGCAAUGCUCGAAAGAGUGACAAAGCGAGCCAGAGUGUUUCUCAUAUAGAGAAACUUUUGUCAGCUGUAAAAAGGCUGACGAAUAAGGACUGGGCAAGACUGGUGCCAGCCGCCGCGGUAAUCCCAGCGGUCCAAGUCGCAGCCACUUUUAUUGGGUCUAAAACAUCCGUAGCUUGUCUUGUAAGUCUCUUGUGAAAUUCUGUCUCUCAAGGAUAGAGCGUGCAAGAGAUACUGCAUGGCUAGAGACUGGGGGAUGUGAGGAGUACAGUUGAGGUAGUGGUAAAAUACGUUAAUCUCGACUGGACUAACAACAGCGAAGGCACCUCACAACUACAGUUCUGACAGUGAGGGAUGAAGGCUAGGGGCGCGAAACGGAUUAGAUACCCUUGUAGUC
rnacentral:rRNA from 1 species